GCGCCGGAAGUCGCUAGCGAGCGCUUCCUGUGAGCUUGCGCAUAACCAGCAGGGCUGGCACUCGGGUAGCGCGCAUGAGUAGUCCCGCCCCUCCCUCGUGCGUGGCCUAGAGGGGAGCAGACGAGCCUAGCCAGCUCUCUAGCGGCUGCGGAACGUGGCCCGGAAGUGGAUGUUAGCUUCUACUUCCCCGUUGGUUUGGCCGUGAUUUGCACCUUAAUCUGUGCCACCCUGGAAAUGGAAGGUUUCCGUCGCAAGAUCCGAGUGUGGCGAGGCGGGGUCACAUAGCCGAUCCUGAUUGCUGCUCUGAAGAUUAUUUUUAUUACUAUUUAUAGCAUCUUGCUGCCUUCACAGUUUGAGCAAGAAUCCAUUUUUCCCUACCAACGUGGAUUGUUGCAGGGAUCGGCCUGGAGUCCACUUUCAAGAGGGACAUUGACAUACCUAUAUUAGUUAUGGAGGUGGAGAGUGGAAUUGUCAGGUCGUGUGAGAAGGGGCGCUGCUAGGGAAGAUGGCCCUGAAGAAUGGCCGGAGAUGUAUGGAAAAAUACUCUUUAAAGGACUGAUCUGUUAAUGGACAGAUUGUUACAGACAUGUGAACAAGCAUUGAUGAGUAAAAGCUCAAGGGAGGCAACCUUAAAGUCACUGGAAGAUAACUGUUCAUAGUUGAGACUGCAUAAACUGUGGAAUGGACUCCUCCUAAACUCCGAAUUUACUGCUUGAGAAUAGAAUCUGAGUUCCGUGGAAAUUAGCAGGUCUAUAAAAAGAGUGCAACACGAGAUGAAGAAUUUCCUGUUACAUAGUCCUGCCACUAUGAGAUGUUGCCCCAGCACAUGGAGCUAUGCCACCGUGAACCUACUGAAACAGAGGUAUAAAAGAGAAAAUAAGGGAUGUAAUAGAGGGAAAGCAUCAGGAAAGAUGUGGAUGGAGGACAACUGGAGGGAGGAGGAAGAAGACAGCAGGGAGAGAACAGAGCAGCAGCAGAAAAAAAAGGUAAAUGAAGGAUUAAGCGCUGGCCCUCAGAAAAGUCUUCUGUGUAUGUUUGCACCUCCUCUCCAGUUUCUCUGGCCUUCUGAGAGUUAGUGCUCUCAGCAGCACACUUUGGUUUAUGCUGUUUUCCAAGAGUUUUAUUGAUUUAUUCCCACAUUCAGGUCUAUGGCCUGUUCCUAUUACCAUGUGGGAUCCCAUCAUUCCACAUCCUUACCAACAGUUGCUAUUGACUUUUUUAUUAAAGUCACCCUAGUAAGGUGGAGCAGGGACUGCUGGCUUCUGUCUCACAUUUUGUAAGGGUGCAUGACAUACAGUAUCCUCUCAUCUGCUUAGCGGCCUUCAUGUACUCUCUAAGUUGUCUUUUAUAUUGAACUGUAAGAAUUGCUUACAGCGUCUAGACAUGAGCUCCUUACCAAAUGUAUGAAUUGCACUUAUAUUCCUCAGGGGGAGAAUGGUUCUCAUGUCACCUAGGUUGGCUUUGAACUUUACAUGGCUAGCCUUUAAACACGUCUUCUUGCCUAUACCUCCUGAGUGCUAGGAUUACAGGCAAGGGACAGCAUGGCUCCUAUUUCCUUCCCUCUGAAUGUCUGUCCACUUCCACUUAUAAUAUCCAUUGAAACAGGCGUUCUCCAGCUGAAGAGGGACACCUUAGCUACAUUAACAUAUAAUUUUAUUUGGUUACUUGUGGUUCAGUGCCACAUCUAAUAAGCCAUGUCUGGUGUGAGAUUUGCCCCUACACCUUCUUUUAUUACACUUUAGGGUCUGUGAUCCACUUGUAGUUAGCUGUAGAAGUUCAUUUCAAUUCUUUUUUAAAGAUUUUUUAAAGAUGUCAUUAUAGAUGGUUGUGAGCCAAUAUAUGGUUGCUUGGAAUUGAA